UACGAAGGGUGCAAGCGUUACUCGGAAUUACUGGGCGUAAAGCGUGCGUAGGUGGUUUGUUAAGUCUGAUGUGAAAGCCCUGGGCCCAACCUGGGAAUUGCAUUGGAUACUGGCAGGCUAGAGUGCGGUAGAGGGUAGUGGAAUUCCCGGUGUAGCAGUGAAAUGCGUAGAGAUCGGGAGGAACAUCCGUGGCGAAGGCGACUACCUGGACCAGCACUGACACUGAGGCACGAAAGCGUGGGGAGCAAACAGG
rnacentral:rRNA from 1 species